UAGUGGUGGCCUAGUGGUAAGGUGUCGAUUUCAGAGCCGGAGUGUUCCAGGUUCGAAACCCGAUUCCACUAA